rnacentral:rRNA from 1 species
AACGAACGCUGGCGGCGUGCCUAACACAUGCAAGUCGUGCGAGAAAGUUCCUUCGGGAGCGAGUAAAGCGGCGCACGGGUGAGUAACACGUAGGUAACCUGCCCCCCAGUCUGGAACAACUAGAGGAAACUCUAGCUAAUGCCGGAUGAGACCACGAUCCCUUCGGGGGUUGCGGCCAAAGAUGGCCUCUACUUGUAAGCUAUCGCUGAGGGAUGGGCCUGCGGGCCAUUAGCUUGUGGUGAGGUAACGGCUCACCAAGGCUGUGAUGGCUAGCUGGUCUGAGAGGAUGACCAGCCACACUGGGACUGAGACACGGCCCAGACUCCUACGGGAGCAGCAGUGGGAAUA